rnacentral:rRNA from 1 species
AACGAACGCUGGCGGUAUGCUUAACACAUGCAAGUCGAACGAACUUGCUUGGGGCUUGCUCCGAGUAAGUUAGUGGCAAACGGGUGAGUAACACGUGGGAAUCUACCUAUCAGUACGGAAUAACAUUUGGAAACAGAUGCUAAUACCGUAUAUUCUCUUCGGAGGAAAGAUUUAUCGCUGAUAGAUGAGCCCGCGUUAGAUUAGGUAGUUGGUAGGGUAAUGGCCUACCAAGCCGACGAUCUAUAGCUGGUCUGAGAGGAUGAUCAGCCACACUGGGACUGAGACACGGCCCAGACUCCUACGGGAGGCAGCAGUGGGGAAUAUUGGACAAUGGGCGAAAGCCUGAUCCAGCAAUACCGCGUGAAUGAUGAAGGCCUUAGGGUUGUAAAGUCUUUUAGUAGGGAAGAUAAUGACGGUACCUACAGAAAAAGCCCCGGCUAACUCCGUG